GACGAACGCUGGCGGCGUGCCUGACACAUGCAAGUCGGACGGUUCUUGCACCUUCAAGCUUGCUUGCUGGUGCAAGGAUAGUGGCGGACGGGUGAGUAACGCGUGAACAUCUACCCAUUGGAGGGGGACAACCCGUCGAAAGGCGGGCUAAUACCGCGUAAGCCGCGAGGUGAGAGGCUGCCUAUUGGUGGCCGCCGAUGGAUGGGUUCGCGUCCUAUCAGCUGGUUGGUGGGGUAACGGCCUACCAAGGCGAAGACGGGUAGCCGGUCUGAGAGGAUGGCCGGCCACACUGGAACUGAGACACGGUCCAGACUCCUACGGGAGGCAGCAGUGGGGAAUAUUGGGCAAUGGGGGUAACCCUGACCCAGCGACGCCGCGUGAGGGACGAAGGUUUUCGGAUCGUAAACCUCUGUUGUACGGGAAGAAGGAAUUGACGGUACCGUACGAGAAAGCCCCGGCAAACUACGUAGCCAGCAGCCGCGGUAAACUAGCGUG
rnacentral:rRNA from 1 species